CCUACGGGGGGCAGCAGUGGGGAAUAUUGGGCAAUGGAGGCAACUCUGACCCAGCAACGCCGCGUGAAUGAUGAAGGUCUUCGGAUUGUAAAGUUCUGUGAUGGGGGAUGAACACAAUGACGGUACCCCAAUAGCAAGCCACGGCUAACUACGUGCCAGCAGCCGCGGUAAUACGUAGGGGGCAAGCGUUAUCCGGAAUGACUGGGCGUAAAGGGUGUGUAGGUGGGUUAGUAAGUUGGCGGUGUAAUUCCGGGGCGCAACCUCGGCGCUACCGCCGAAACUGGUAGACGAGAGUGCAGGAGGGGUAAGUGGAAUGCGUGGUGUAGCGGUGGAAGGCGUAGAUAUUAGGAGGAACAUCAGGGGCGAAGGCGGCUUGCUGGACUGUAACUGACGCUGAGGCACGAAAGCGUGGGGAGCAAACAGGAUUAGAUACCCCAGUAGUC
rnacentral:rRNA from 1 species